UACAGAGGUCUCAAGCGUUGUUCGGAUUCAUUGGGCGUAAAGGGUGCGUAGGCGGCGCGGUAAGUCGGGUGUGAAAUCUCGGAGCUUAACUCCGAAACUGGCAUCGAUACUGCCGUGCUUGAGGACUGGAGAGGAGACUGGAAUUUACGGUGUAGCGGUGAAAUGCGUAGAUAUCGUAAGGAAGACCAGUGGCGAAGGCGGGUCUCUGGACAGUUCCUGACGCUGAGGCACGGAAGGUCAGGGGGAGCAAACGGG
rnacentral:rRNA from 1 species